rnacentral:rRNA from 1 species
UACGUAGGGUGCGAGCGUUAAUCGGAAUUACUGGGCGUAAAGCGUGCGCAGGCGGUCUGUUAAGACCGAUGUGAAAUCCCCGGGCUUAACCUGGGAACUGCAUUGGUGACUGGCAGGCUUUGAGUGUGGCAGAGGGAGGUAGAAUUCCACGUGUAGCAGUGAAAUGCGUAGAGAUGUGGAGGAAUACCGAUGGCGAAGGCAGCCUCCUGGGCCAACACUGACGCUCAUGCACGAAAGCGUAGGUAGCGAAUGGG